rnacentral:rRNA from 1 species
UACGGAGGAUGCAAGCGUUAUCCGGAAUCAUUGGGCGUAAAGAGUCCGUAGGUGGUUUAGCAAGUCUGCUGUCAAAGACUGCGGCUUAACCGCAGAAAGGCAGUGGAAACUGCAAGACUAGAGUGCGGUAGGGGUAGAGGGAAUUCCCAGUGUAGCGGUGAAAUGCGUAGAUAUUGGGAAGAACACCAGUGGCGAAAGCGCUCUACUGGACCGAAACUGACACUGAGGGACGAAAGCUAGGGGAGCGAAAGGG